AGCUUUUCGAAUCCAUGCACAAAUUUCACCAGACACCAACCUAUUAGGGCUGAUCAGACUUUCAAGAUAAGUGAAGUU
rnacentral:pre_miRNA from 1 species